rnacentral:lncRNA from 1 species
ACUAGUACUAGUGUGUCGUGUGUCUCUUGAAAGAAUAGCUGCAAAUAAACAUAAAUAUUCCUUUCAGCAGCAGCUUAGAGACACGUUGCUUUGUGUGUUUUUUCUUCUCAAGCGGAUGUUUUUCAUAAGAAAUGAAUAAGAGUUUUGUUCCCAAGACGAUUUUGAAGUUGGCAGUAGCUGGUUUAAAAACCAGACAGUGAAAUGUAUGUCCCUUUUCAGUGUUUUUCUGUCUGUGUGAACAGUGUGACAGGCUUCCUGUCAUGGCUUCUUAGAAAAUAGUUUAAUGCUAUUACUGAGGUGGUUUGGAUUUUAGAUUCUUUUUUAGCUAUAGAUCAAAUUUAGCUACCUCCCAUGUUCCUGUACCAUCUCCUUAAUGGACACAGAAUCUACUCCUGGUUUUGUGUAUUGACUCAGCUCAGUAACAGUAUAGAAUAGUUGGCAAGAGUUAGAGCCAAGCUUUCUAUGUAGCUCAGGCCUGCCUUGAACUCAGUCUUUCUGCCUCAUCAUUGCUUUUGCGAUUAUAAAUGAGCAUACCCCAUGCCCAACUAAGGUUGAGGCUUUGCGGAAAGAAGUACUGUCUGGAACAGGAAUUGAGGGGUGGGUAGGAAAUCUAGGACCAAAGAAAAGGUCUUUCACUUCUAGGCAAUAUUCUACUCCCAACCCCAGCUCUGGUGCUGGAUUAGUUGGGUUUUCUUAGGUUUGUUUGUUUGUUUGUUUAAUUUAAAUGUCACUUGUUUUUACAGACAUCCACCUCUGCAUCUUCUGUACAGUAUAGUAUAAAAUAUAAGUGCAUAUUCACUUACAUGUGAAUAUUUAUUUGUGCGUGUUUAGUGGGUGGCUACUGUUGUUAUUACUUUUUACAUUUAAUUUCAGUGAGACACUGAUCUUUUUAGCUGUUAAUAUCACCUCUGUUGAUUUUGGCAAAAGUUUUUUCAUAGCGAAUAUACGUGAAUAGACUUUGUCUUUACCAAAUAUAUUUUAACUGAAAAAGAAUUUGCUUAAAAAAUAAAUAAAAGUCUUCUUUUAAAAUCAUAGUUCUAACAGGUUGGCCUUGGCAGUUUUCAUGGACAAUGUCUGCCCAACUUCUGAAGAGCUGUUUUAAUGCUCCCACAUGCCCAUGAUCUCAGUACUUCUGAGACGAGCAGGAAGACUGCUACAAGUUUGGGGCAAUCUGAUGUGCACAUCAAGUUAUAGCCAAGCAGGGACUAAGCAGUGAAACCCUCCCUGUGUUAAAAAACAAAGAUUAAAUUGUUUCUAGAUUUAAAACAUUAUUAUGGAAAUGAAUGUAAAAGAUGCAAAUAAAGAAAUGACUGAAAAUUAAGAAAACUCCCCUAUUUUGAGCUUAUCGUCUUAUUUUCAGUUUAGCCUGCUGUGGUCUGAAUGUAUUCCCAAAGUCCAUAUGCUAGGAACUUGGUCCCCCAGUUCCUAGAGAGACUAUCAUCUAAUGGUGGAACCUUUCAGAGAGGAAUUAAGUAAGUUGAAGUUGAAAAAAUGUGAUUUUGUGAUGGUGUUAAAUGGCUUUAGAGCAGUCACCGUCAGCAGCUUUCUCAUGUCUUGUUGUGUCCUGUCGUGCCCAACCCAAGAUAUGCCUCUAGAGGGCCCUCACCACUCACAGAUGCUGGCACCAGGCAACACCAAGACCAAAUAAAAUAAGUUCUGGUCUUUAGAUUACUUGGUCUCAGUAUUUUCAGCAUAAGAACAGUUGCCAAAUAAAGGAUUCUUGUUUCCUUUUGCAUGUCUGCAGAUUGGGUCUUGAAGC